rnacentral:tRNA from 1 species
GGUGGCUUUCGCCAGCGGCAUGGCGGCGGUCUCCGCGUGCCUGCUUUCCGCGGUAUCGCGAGGAAAACGGCACAUCGUCGGUGUCCGGCCGCUG